rnacentral:rRNA from 1 species
AACGAACGCUGGCGGCAGGCUUAACACAUGCAAGUCGAACGCUCGUAGCAAUACGGGAGUGGCGGACGGGUGAGUAACGCGUGGGAACGUGCCCUGAGGUACGGAAUAACUGAGGGAAACUUCAGCUAAUACCGUAUGAGCCCCGAGAGGGGAAAGAUUUAUCGCCUUGGGAGCGGCCCGCGUCGGAUUAGCUAGUUGGUGGGGUAACGGCCUACCAAGGCUUCGAUCCGUAGCUGGUCUGAGAGGACGAUCAGCCACACUGGGACUGAGACACGGCCCAGACUCCUACGGGAGGCAGCAGUGGGGAAUCUUGCGCAAUGGGGGCAACCCUGACGCAGCCAUGCCGCGUGAACGAUGAAGGCCUUAGGGUUGUAAAGUUCUUUUACCCGUGACGAUGAUGACGGUAACGGGGAAUAAGCUCCGGCUAACUUCGUGCCAGCAGCCGCGGUAAU